AUGUUCUCGCACAGCGGAGGCCUCGCCAUUCCCCAUCAUCAGCUUCGUCCAAACUCCCUCAUUCCUCUUCUCUCUUAUUCCGUCGUUCACCUUCUUAUCCUCCGAUUCUGUCUCAGCGGCUUCGUCUUCUUCUUAAUUAGUUUCUCACUUCUAUUGGAAGACAAGUCCGACGCGUGUUCAAAACUCAGGUACGGUGAAGGUGAAAGAUGA